rnacentral:lncRNA from 1 species
UAUUCAUAGCCUCUUCAUAUGAUGAAGGUUCUGAAUACUCUAAAGAUUCACCCGAGAUAAGGGCAAAGUCGAUCAAAUUAUUUAUUUCAUAUCUUGGAUUUGGUUUGAUUUGCCUCCUUUCCCUAUCUCUCACCAAUUGAUAAUCUUGAGCACUUGUUUCAAUAGUGGGAACAUUUGGGCUUUCAAUUUCAAUUUCGACUUCACACGGACCUACUUCACCUUCGUCCGUGUAAACAACAUUUUCAUCAGAUUGUUGUACACACUCAUCAAUAUUUUCAUGUUGAGUGGGAUUUAGCCUUGUUAGCUUCACCUCAUUCCGUGAAGUAGUCUCAUUGUUUUGCUCUUUAGAAUUAUCAAUUUUGUUCUUUAGGC